UCUCAAGGCACAACAAGAGAACAAUGACACCAAUAUAGCGCAUCCCUAGGAACAGAACUAAUAAAACCUUAUGGUGCUCAAACGAAAAUACCAAACAAGAUGCGCACGACACAUAGUUCAUGCUAGAAAAUGCUCAGUGUGUGUCUGUGGGGGGUUAUCUGGGAGGAGGUUUUCAUGCUGCCUUUUUUAGGCAUUCAGCAGGCACAAUGCAGCUCCAGUCAAGCUUCUAUCCACAUAUGGCCUAAUUAUGAUUCAAUUCUCUACUUGAAAUUUCGAAUCUAGUACUGGUAAAAUUAGAAAUCUCAAAAAUAUUUUAAUGAGCUAAUUAUGAAGUUGUCAUAGUUUAAUUAUUGCAGUUUAUUGGGGGGAAAAAAUUCAUAUUGAAAAAUAUUCGUUUCCAAUGAUCUUACUUAUAGAUAUAAUUUUUUCAAAAGAAUUCUAAAAUGGAAACUCUAAUACUAAUACAUUUUUUCUUCCUUUGUUUGCAUAUAUUUUUCCCUCCUUUUUUUUCUUUCUUUUGAAAGGAUGAAGCAGUUGAAAUAGCCCUUAAAGAAUAUGGCCUGUACUAGCAUUGGUUACCCUAUUUUUACCUCAUGCAUUAUGUAGGUCAGGAAUCUGAGGAACCUAAAGGCUUUUUUGAGGACUUUGGCUUCAUGACUGGUAAUUAGAUGACCUUCUUGGUACUAAGUCACUCACCUUGUUUACAGUCUCUCAUCUCCAGCAAAGUUUAUUUUGGAGACUAGAGGAAAGCACAAUUUAAAACUUUUACCACAAAGUUCAAUUUGUUUUUGUUUUGUUUAUUUGUGAUCAAAUAGAAUAACAUUUCUGAAUGUUUCUAUUCUACAAACAUUACACUCAGAAGUGUCCUUUACCUUUGGUUCUAAAGAUUUGUACCAGUUGUAUAUAUUUUUGUGCCUUGUUGCUGUCUCAAAGCAUGUGUGUGACAUAAAAUCAGAUUCAUUGUAAUUGUUGAAAUAUUUGUUCUCAAGUGUGGAUGAUGAACCAAAUUGUGUUUCACAGCUGGGAUAAAUAAGACAUAUUAAUAAAGAGUUUAAACAAAAAUGUUUAGAAGUUCUGUAGACAUAAAAUGGCUAUGGACUAUCAUUGGUCUACAUUGCAAAGUUUUGGGUGUUUUUUUGUUUUGUUUUGUAAUUACACUUUGAUUAAUUCUAAUGUGUUGCUGAAAAUACUUUUUAAAAUCCUGCACACACACAAAUUUGGCAUAUAAACUUUAAUGCUGAUGGAUAUAUUAUUAAAAGUUUGUAGUAAUGGCUUAGUGAACAGUUACUACAGAUCAGUGAUAUUUCUGACAUCUAUGCUUCGUAAAGUGUGCAAGAAAUGAUAGAAUAGUGUGGUACAUCAACUUGUUGGCCUUUAUAUUUUUCAUGACCUGUGAGCUGUUUUCUUCUUUUAUUUAUUCAUUACCAAUAACCUGCCCAAUUUGUAUUUACGCAUGGGAAAAGGAAUUGGUUAAAAAGAAAACUUAAUGAAUAUUUUCUUACAUUAUUUUAUAUAAGCUCAGUGUAGCAUUGGCUGAUGUCCUACAUGCUUUAAUUCAGACAAAACAUUUUGAAAAAUUGGUAUGAAGCCCAUUGCAUUCAACUUCUCUCUGUGUUAGUGUAUGUGUUAGUGUACAUUUGUAUGGCAACUCUUAGGUGCUGAAAAAACCUGUCUGAUGGUUGUUUUCCCCCUUAUCAAUUGGGUUUGAACUUGGACCUUUUCUAGUUUAUGGCAUACAGUGAAUUGAAUCAACAGCAGCACUUGUAGUUGUUAUCAUUGCUCAAAUAUCUUCAUCCACUGUCACUGCAUCAUAAGUCAUUUGAUUUUUGCCCACUUGAAUGUGAUUUGAUUGAAAAUUAUUUUUGAUUAAUAAAGAACACUCAAUAUGGAUAAAGUAAUGUGUUGUAUUGAUUAAGAACAUUGUUUGUGAUCAAACCAAUACCUUUGCUUUUCUUACUUAUAUAGUGAUGUAAAUGUUUAACCAUUCCUAUUGAUGAUAAUUAUUGAAUUUAUCAAUAGAAUGAAUUUAUUAAACUUGUUCAAUAAUUUAUCCUUAAAAAUUGUACUGUUUGAAGAAAGAAAGACCAAUGUAUCAUAUAUUAAGUUAAUACAUUUAAUUCAUUCAAUAAUA
rnacentral:sRNA from 1 species